AGGGCAAGAACGUGGUGGGAAUUUUAGGAAAAUUUUGAGGAAAAAUGUAAAAAUUUUCCUAAAAUUCCCACCACGUUCUUGCCCUUUGC
rnacentral:miRNA from 1 species